GGGGUGGGGGGAGGGGAAACAGAAAGGGAGUGAUAACUGGGCUGACGGAGGAUAACUGCCAUUAUUAAGCACCCCGGGCUGGCCAGGAGCAGUCACCGCCUCUUCCUUCCCGAGGGGGCAGCCGAGGCACACGGGAUACAAGCAUGUGUCCUGGAAUUGUGGAAGAGGCAGAGCUGGGAUACGAACCUGGGACAUGUGGCUCCUGGCCCGCACUGCGCCAGGAUGAGGAAAACAUGCUACACUUUCCUCCACCGUAAAAAUGGCUGGACUUAGGAAAACUAAUGACUAAUAUGUCCACCUCCUAGCAAAUGUUUGGAAUGAACAUGAGAAAUUGCUGCUACAAACAUUCUCGUACAGGUUUUAUGUGAACGGAAGUUGUCCUCUCUCUAGGAUAAAUAUCUAGGAGUACGAUUGCUGAGUUAUAAGGGCUGCGUCCUGUCCUUGUGUGCCAUCCUGCCUGGCACAGAACGGAGGUGCUCCAGGUGUAUCUGCUGGACCACCGAGCCAAGGCAGAAUAAACUUCAGGAGGCCCAACUGUGACUACUGCGACUCCCCUUCACAAAAAUGAGGACAUCUCCACCUUCAAACCGUUUCCUACUGGUUACGGUUCUAGACAUUAUUCUCUAAAUGACCGAAGGCACUGCAACUCAAAGUGUGUUCUAAAGACCAGCAGCGCAGAAAGACCCAGAAGCUUGUCAACAAUGCAGCCUCUCAGGCCCACUACAGACCUGCAGAAUCGGAUGGGGGUUUCUAUAGUCUUCAGUGUAAGAGAUGCACUGUCCUAAGGUUUAGGACAUGUGGGAAGUCACUCAACUGUACCGGUUAAACCAGGAAAGAAGGAACCCAAGAAUAUUAAAAGCACACUAACUACAUCUUAGCAAUCAGAAGAACUAUUAACUAAUUUAGCCUACGUCUGAAAUUUGUCCUGGAAUUUAGCAAGAGCUUGUGAGACUGCAAACACCCAACCAGUCUCUCUCUUCUAGGUCACUCUAAUAAAUGGCUACGUGAUGAAGGCUGUAAGAAGAUAUAAUGCCUAGGUGAUGAGAUGAAGGGACAUGAACGAUGGAGGCACUGUGAUGUAGCAUAAACGAUAUUGACCUUUUGACAAUACGUCAGAAGAUGAAUCUCUGCUUCUGGACCAUGGUUGACUGAGAUGGCAGGAAGUGAAACCACAGGUAAGGAGAGACUACGGUACAGUAUUAUGUCACCACUCUGAGGUAGGCUUAGCAGUCACAUCCUUCAGCCACUUAGCAAAAAAAACUCAAUGGGACAAGAGGAGCUACAUGUGAACUGGUGUGCAAGAAAACAACAGUACGUGCCAGGCACUGUGCACCCAUAGAUAAGUAAGAUCCAAAGCCCUAUUAUGAGUUUACAAUCUGAUGAUUCAGGAUUCUAUUAGUCAAGUUUUCAAUAAUUCUUACCAUGCAAAAAUUUCUUACCUUUCUGCCACAACAAUAUCCAAGGCUUUGCAUUACUGGGUCAAUUUCUUGUUCAAAGACCUCAGACAGCUUGGAGCAGUAUUUGUACACCCGUGAUGUUUUCCGAUUAUACAACCAGGCAUUGUUGAACAUAAGCCAAAUGUCAUCCACAUACUGCCAGGGCUCCUGAUACUGUCCAGUGUCUAACUUCCUCUUGAUGGUGGAAAGAUCCAUGGGGCUUUUCACAAUAUCAAAGUAAUCCUAGAAGGGUAAGUGACACCAAGCAACAUUACCACAAAGUCUCAGUAUAUUUAAGGUAGCUGGUGUUUCUUCCUAUAAUCAUUAAUUUUCCAGAAAAGUUAAGUCGCUGUCCUGACUAUAUGUCCAAGGAAUUAAGUUGAUACCUAUCACUUCUUUAAGUUAUUAGGCUACAGAGAUAUGAAGCAACUCAGAGGGCAGAAAUAACAAGAGUCACUACAUAAACUUUUCAGACAGCAGGCUGAUGAUCUACUAAAACAACUCCAGAUACUUUACCACAGUGUAUGUGUGAUCCAUUGAAACACCCAGAAGUAAAACAGCCUUAACAUUUUAGUAGUAAAAGGGGCCUACUCUUGAGAAAACUAAGCCCAGUGAACUUCAGUGAUCUAAGGCCUCAAAAAUAUAGGGAAAAAGAAGUUCCUAAUGAAUUUUGCCCCUGUAAGCACUCCACUGCCUUAUCCAAUACCACUGACAAGCCUCAAAUGAAGUGUGCCAGCGGUCUGGUGUGCAAAGGCAAUUUUAAAAACAGAGGAAGUUAAUUUGGGUCCAUCUUUUCUACCAGAGCUACUGCUACUCAGGUGAUAAAAAUAAAUAAGCCUACGACCCAGUAAUCACGAUCCUAGGUAUAUACCCCAAAGAAACAAAAACAUAUACCACACAAAAAUUUUAUACAUGAAUGUUCAUUCACAGCAGCACGAUCCUCAAUAGCCCAAAAGUGUAAACAACUAAAAUGUCCAUCAACUAAUGAAUGGGUAACAAAAAUGUGGCAGAGCCGUACAAUGGAGUAUUGCUGAGCCAUAAAAAGGAAUCAAGUACUGGUUCGUGCUACGUUAUGAAUGAACCCUGAAAGAAGUCAGUCACAAAGAAACACAUACUAUAUAAUUCCAUUUAAUGAAACAUCCAGAAUAAACAAAUCCAUAGAGACAGAAGCAGACUAGUGGUUGGAUGGGGGAGGAAAUGGGCAUGAGGGCUCAUGGACACAGGGAUUCUUUUUUGGGGUGAUGAAAAUGAUCCCAAAUUGACAGUGGUGAUGGCUGCACAAUUCUGUCAAUACACAAAAAUCAAUGAAUUGUACAGUUUGAGUGUCUUGAAUAAUAUGUGAAUUAUAGCUGAAUAAAGCUGUUAACAAAUUAAAAAAAAAAAAAAAAUCAAAACUACCACCACAGGGGCACCUGGGUAGCUCAGUUGGUUAAGCGUCUGAGUCUUGAUCAGGUCACGAUCUCAGUCAGGGGAUCAAGCAUGGCACAGCACUGGGGUCCAUGCUGGGCACGGAGCCUGCUUAAGAUUCUCUCCCCCACUUUCCCUCUGCUCCUCCUCAACUCACCUGCAUGAACACUAAAAAAAAAAAAAAAAAAAAAAGAAAAGAAAAAAGAAAAAAAAAUACCACCACAUACUUACAGGGAUUCCUAGAAGUUGAGGGUCCACAGGUUGACGAAAGGGAAGGGAUUCUGGAUCCUGUCGGUAAAGUGCCUCCAAUGUUGGCAUCAGUGCCUGUCGUAACUCUUCUGGUUUAAAAACUUAAGAGCACAAUUGAAAUUAGUUAUCAAUUAAGUAAAAGAAAAAGAAAAUGCUCAAGCUGAAGCUAUUAAAACAAAUCUCAAGAGCCACAAAACACAAAACUGCUUAUACCGUCUCCAUGGAAAUACCACUUACAGCACACUUCCUAUUUCUAAUUUUUGGUCCACAUCAGGUAGCGCCUUUAAAUGGUGUCAGGUAGACACCGUGUCUAGUCAGCUUUAAAUACCCUGAACAGCUCAGCUACUUCUUCGAUCAGAAAUUCAGUUAAAAUAGCCUUGACCAAGUAGAAACAGCAUCCUAAGCAUUCCAGAAAUUUAUGAAGACACUGGUCAAAAAAAAUUCCAAAAUAUACUAGUGAUGGCGGGGGAGAGGGGCGUGUGCUGUCAAAGAAGAACAGAAAGAGGUCCUCACUCAUGAGAAGAGUAUAUAACAAGUCAGAAGACCUGAUACUGUCUCACCACUAAAGGAAUCAGAACCCCUGGUGGGAAGAGUCCCUCAUUAAACUGCUUGAUGUUUUAGAGCUUAGGAGGAAUACAUAUAUUUACUAUCUUAAUAACAAAUGGUAGGUUCAAGUCUAAACAAAGAGAGAACUAAAUUAUUAUUGCCCAAACAACAGACUCAACUGAUCAAAUUUCAUUCCAGUGUACUUGGGUAUGUUUCUAAAGUCAGGAAAGAUUUGCUGGUGUGUCCCAAAUGGAAUUAAUUUAAGCUAUUAUUUAAGAAGCUACUCAUUAAGGGUCCAGGUUUGAGCUUUAAAACACUCUGAGCAGAGGCUUUGUUAUUUCUUCUGUUUACAAAAUAAUUUUAUCUUCAAGAUAGCUUAUUUGUUAGUACUUUAGAUAUUUUUCACUUCAUAGUGGGGCAGCCAUGAAAAAAAUUAAACAGAUGGGAGAGGAUUCUUUGUUUCUCAUAUCUGGUUGUGCUCAAAAGAACAAAGUUGAACAAACUUGUGAAAUUAGCUGUUUUAAAGACAGAUUCCUAACAGUGAGAUUGGGUUUCUUGCAGCCUACCUUAAAAUACACCUUGAUCAUAUAAACCUUAUUUAAAUCCAAGUAAAUUUUUAACCCUAACAUUUUAAGCUGCAUUGUAUUAAUGGAACACCUUUAUAUACAGCAUCUUUAGGAGCCGGCAGAUUCCUCCCUUGAAAGAAGCCCUACCUGUGCCAUAGAGGGUGUCACUAGAGCCCUAAGAAGUCCUAGUCCCAAAGUUGGUAAAUCAAUUUCUGUGGGAAUUAAACAGAUUUUAACACUCUGUACUAAGCUGAGCUGCUUGCUCGGUUUGACUCAUUAAUAUUUAGGAGCUGGCUGGGAGCAGACUGAAAUUGGUCUGCCUGGGUUCACUUAACCAGCUGAGUGAGCUGGGGCAAGCUACUUAACCUUGCCCAGCCUCAGGUUUUCAGUAACUGCCCAGAGUUGUUGUAAAGUUAGUAGAUGGGAGAGUACAGGUGUGUGGCAUGGUACCUGGUGCAUACAGUAGGCUGACAAUACGUAGUACUAUUUAUUAUCGCUGCUACUGUUUCUUGCAUUUUAGUCAAGGGUACGUAACAAUUUCUUCCUCUGAAGAAAAGACAAUUUUGAGAGGUUGUUAAGCACCCAACCCUGGAGAAAUGAAGGGUGUGACUGACCCAGUGACUGCAGGAAGCAAAUAUACCUACCACAGGAAAGACAAAGUCUUCUCCAACACCAGUAACAACACAGAGACCAGGCCAAAAGGGCUCCAAGCUUAAUGAAAUCACAUCAAAGUCAAUUUCUGGGACCAAGAACCCGACCCCAUCUAUUCAAAGUUUGUGUUUUUUUCCCUGCCUCCAGGAACAGAGAGCCUAAGAGACCUACUCUUCUUCUUUGACUGUCCCGGGGCUGGAGAUGACUGGGUAGCCGAAGUACUCGGCUGGUCUUCCUCUUCUUUUGUUUCAGUUUUUAACUCCGUGCCUCUCUCCUCUGUUUCUGUAGGUUCCAUUUUACAGUCUUCUGCUUUAGUCUGAAAGACAAGGUGAAAUUUUUAUUAUUCCAAAGACUUGUCACCAGGAAGCAGUAAGAUCACCGUCCUAUUUACUCUUUCUCAUGUGGAAGUCAUGAAAUGAGACCUAAUUACCAGAAUACUUUCCUGUAACGGGUUUAGUGGGGCUCCUAGACAGAGGUCCUACCCAAGUAGCAGCAGCCACUGCCCGACCCUCACCUCUGGGAUGUCCUCCGGCUGAGUAUCUGCUGGUUCUGGCUGAUCCACUUCCAUCUUGGCCUCCAUUUUCACUUCCUGUGAAGGCUGCUUCUCAGGAAUGGUCUGAGAAGUCACUUCUGUGCUGCUAGUAGAUGGAGGGUUUGAUACCUGCCCUUCAAUGCUUACAGCUGGCUGGGAAAGCUGGACAGAAAAGAGGGGGAAAAAGCACAAAAGUUUGCCAUGUAUACAACCAGAAUUCAAGCUGCGCAUCAGGAUGGUAUGAUUAACCACCUAUUUUGAGGCUAGUAUCAUUCUAUUCGUUUAUGGUGCUUUCGUGUACUCGGCCUAUUUCACUCCCUUGAAGUAAACUGUGCUUAAGAACAAGAGACUGAGGACUUGCAAAGGCCGACUGGCUGCUGUACCUAAGAGAGCCCGCACUGGCUGUCAUUCUGUGGCAGUGUGGGAGGGAUGGGGUCGUAGAGCUGCCUGCCUCCGAAGACUCACGUUUACAGAGAAGCAGAAAGAAAAGAAGGAUGACUGGCUAUUUUGUUUUGUUUUGAACUUAUCAGCGGGAAAAGCUGCAAAUGUACAGAAGAAGUAGAAUAAAAUGAACUCCCACACUCA